AGCUACAGCUUCCAUCGAUCAUCCAGGAACUAAAGGAAAAACUGGCAAAAGCUGACUUGUCUCGAUACCUCACCCAGUGAUGCAAGCCUUGUGCAUCGCCGACAGACGACGGGGAGGCGGCGCCGCCUCACAGCCGCGCCAUCUUUUGCCAACUGUCGGAAGCUCCUCCUGGCGGGAAAGAAGAGUGACCGUUGCUUCGUCGAAGCGCCGGCACGGUGUGAAGCACGCGGCGAGCGGUCACGGGGUCGCGCGUGCGACGGCCAGACAUGGACGUCAGGCGAGGAGACACCGCAAUCGAAGGCAACAAGGCAAGCACAACAUUGGAGGCUUUGAACGCCCCGCGGAUCUGCCCUCUAGGCUAUACAAACAAUUCACGCCGAAAGCGCUCACGGGCGUGCUGCAACGCUUUGGGCAGUGCUCGCAAGGUAACAUGCCAAUGUUCAAGCUUUUCGGCGAGGGUAUUGUUGCAGACCUGGCGAGGGUCGCCUUGGGCAAAGAGAGUCCGUGGCUGGGGCUCGUCGACGACACAGCUGGCGCCCCCAAACUUCAAGCCAUCGACGAAUUGGGCAGCCAAUUGUCACCUCUCAACAUCGGCUGAGAAACAGCUCAGCGUGUUCAAGUCACGGAUCGAUGUGACAGAAUUCAAGAAACUUUCGACUGCGGUGAAUGGCGCAAAUGAAUGACA
rnacentral:lncRNA from 1 species